rnacentral:rRNA from 1 species
UACGGAGGAUGCAAGCGUUAUCCGGAAUGAUUGGGCGUAAAGCGUCCGCAGGUGGCUGUGUAAGUCUGCUGUUAAAGAGUGAGGCUCAACCUCAUAAAGGCAGUGGAAACUACAUGGCUAGAGUGCGUUCGGGGCAGAGGGAAUUCCAGGUGUAGCGGUGAAAUGCGUAGAUAUCUGGAGGAAUACCGGUGGCGAAGGCGGCAUCCUGGACCGACAUUGACGCUGAACGGCGAAAGCUAGGGGAGCAAACGGG